rnacentral:rRNA from 1 species
GUGAGGAAUAUUGCGCAAUGGAGGCAACUCUGACGCAGCCAUGCCGCGUGCAGGAAGAAGGCGCUACGCGUUGUAAACUGCUUUUAACCGGGAAGAAACCCCAGGACGUGUCCUGGGUUGACGGUACCGGAGGAAUAAGCACCGGCUAACUUCGUGCCAGCAGCCGCGGUAAUACGAAGGGUGCAAGCGUUAUCCGGAUUCAUUGGGUUUAAAGGGUGCGUAGGCGGAGCGUUAAGUCAGUGGUGAAAUCCUGCAGCUUAACUGUAGACUUGCCAUUGAUACUGGCGAUCUAGAGUGUGCUUGAAGUGGGCGGAAUGUGACGUGUAGCGGUGAAAUGCUUAGAUAUGGCACAGAAAACCAAUUGCGAAGGCAGCUCACUAAGGAGAUACUGACGCUGAGGCACGAAAGCGUGGAGAUCGAACAGGAUUAGAAACCCCUGUAGUCC